GAUCAUGGCUCAGGAUGAACGCUGGCGGCGUGCCUAACACAUGCAAGUCGAACGAAGUUACACAGAGGAAGUUUUCGGAUGGAAUCAGUAUAACUUAGUGGCGGACGGGUGAGUAACGCGUGGGAAACCUGCCCUGUACCGGGGGGAUAACACUUAGAAAUAGGUGCUAAUACCGCAUAAGCGCACGGAACCGCAUGGUUCCGUGUGAAAAACUCCGGUGGUACAGGAUGGUCCCGCGUCUGAUUAGCCAGUUGG
rnacentral:rRNA from 1 species